UAACCUGCAUUCAACUUAUUCUAACUUAACUUGCCAUCCUUGUUCCUGUUAUUCUAAGCUGGUACUACCUGUGUCUAGAUUGUUUUGUAAGGGUAUCUGUGGACAAAUCUGCACAUACUUGGCUUCUGCUCCUGUAAUAGUCCUCGAAUGUUUGUAGCAUGAUAUUUGUCUGAACGAAAAUCAAUAGUUUUCUUCCAGGAUUUUUCUUGCUUUGGAGUUUGCAAGUUGCUGGCUACAUUCUCAGUCUCCUUUAGUGAUAGAUAGUGUGCUUAUCUGGUCUUUUUCUUUGCUAGGAAUAUCUGUAUUGUUUACAAAGUAUAACUGUUUGGUUAUCUAUCUUCCUCCUAGAGCCCAGGCUGACAUGUUAAAAUGGGCCAUUUGCAUGUUCGUACAUAUGCCUGAUGCUCUAGGAUUCUCACCACUUACAUGUUUGUUUUUGGAACUAAUGAGCUCAUAAU
rnacentral:lncRNA from 1 species